UACGUAGGGGGCAAGCGUUGUCCGGAUUUAUUGGGCAUAAAGAGCGUGUAGGCGGCCAGGGAGGUCCGUUGUGAAAACUCGAGGCUCAACCUCGAGACGCCGAUGGAAACCCCCUGGCUAGAGUCCGGAAGAGGAGAGUGGAAUUCCUGGUGUAGCGGUGAAAUGCGCAGAUAUCAGGAAGAACACCCGUGGCUAAGGCGGCUCUCUAGUACGGUACUGACGCUGAGACGCGAAAGCGUGGGGAGCGAACAGG
rnacentral:rRNA from 1 species